rnacentral:misc_RNA from 1 species
GCACGUACUGCCAUUUUGUAACUUCGUCCGACUGAAAACUGUGACUGAAAGUUCGCCCCCAAAGCCGUGUCUCCUCUCCAUUUUACAAGAGAUAAACCGAGUGAUGAUUGAUCUUGUCCAAUUGGGAAGUCAGCCUCCCUGAGCCGUAUUUCCAGAUUGGCACCAAAUGCAGAAUCGCCCUGAGACCGAACAGUGCCAGUGCUACCAACCAGUACAACACGCUUCCCUAGUGUAAUCUGAUCUUCAACUUUAAAUCCUGGGCACACAUUCUCUCCCAAGAAUGUCACCGAUACCCCAG